rnacentral:rRNA from 1 species
AUUGAACGCUGGCAGCAUGCCUUACACAUGCAAGUCGAACGGCAGCACGGGUGCUUGCACCUGGUGGCGAGUGGCGAACGGGUGAGUAAUACAUCGGAACGUACCUUUCAGUGGGGGAUAACGUAGCGAAAGUUACGCUAAUACCGCAUAUUCUGUGCGCAGGAAAGCAGGGGAUCGCAAGACCUUGCGCUGAUUGAGCGGCCGAUAUCAGAUUAGCUAGUUGGUGAGGUAAAGGCUCACCAAGGCGACGAUCUGUAGCGGGUCUGAGAGGAUGAUCCGCCACACUGGAACUGAGACACGGUCCAGACUCCUACGGGAGGCAGCAGUGGGGAAUUUUGGACAAUGGGGGCAACCCUGAUCCAGCCAUGCCGCGUGAGUGAAGAAGGCCUUCGGGUUGUAAAGCUCUUUCGGCCGGGAAGAAAUCGCAUGGGUUAAUACCCUGUGCGGAUGACGGUACCGGCAUAAGAAGCACCGGCUAACUACGUGCCAGCAGCCGCCGUAC